AUAAUACUCUAUAUCCUUUCCCCCCCUUCAAAUACAUUUUAUGUUUAAGGGUCUCAAAUUCUGAUUUGUAUUAUAUAAGAAUGCAGUCUCUAAUAUAAAGUUACUUAUGUGCCAUCAAGUUGGAACCAGCUUACAUCAACUGUGAUAUUUCAAGCAUCAGGUAUCAGGUUCAACACUGGACUGGGUCAACACAUUUUGAAAAAUCCCCUUGUUGUUAACAGCAUUAUAGAAAAGGCUGCCUUGCGCCCUACAGAUGUUGUUCUUGAAGUUGGUCCUGGCACUGGUAACAUGACAGUAAAAAUGUUAGAAAAGGUGAAAAAGGUAAACAUCUGUUAAGAAAUAAUGACUAAGUUGUAUGUGUUUUUCAAAUGUAACUAAUGGGAAACCUCAGAUGGAAUAUAAAUG